AUGAACGCUAGCGGCAGGCUUAACACAUGCAAGUCGAGGGGUAACAGGGAUUGCUUGCAAUCCGCUGACGACCGGCGCACGGGUGCGUAACGCGUAUGCAACCUACCUUCUACAGGGGGAUAGUCAAUAGAAAUGUUGAAUAAUACCCCAUACGAUCUUUGAAUAGCAUUAUUUAAAGAAGAAAGCUCCGGCGGUAGAAGAUGGGCAUGCGUCCUAUUAGUUAGUUGGUAAGGUAACGGCUUACCAAGACUUCGAUAGGUAGGGGUCCUGAGAGGGAGACCCCCCACACUGGUACUGAGACACGGACCAGACUCCUACGGGAGGCAGCAGUGAGGAAUAUUGGACAAUGGAGGCAACUCUGAUCCAGCCAUGCCGCGUGCAGGAAGACUGCCCUAUGGGUUGUAAACUGCUUUUAUACAGGAAGAAAUAUACCUACGUGUAGGUAUUUGACGGUACUGUACGAAUAAGGAUCGGCUAACUCCGUGCCAGCAGCCGCGGUAAUACGGAGGAUCCAAGCGUUAUCCGGAAUCAUUGGGUUUAAAGGGUCCGUAGGCGGUCUUUUAAGUCAGAGGUGAAAUCCUACAGCUCAACUGUAGAAUUGCCUUUGAUACUGAAAGACUUGAGUUAUUGUGAAGUAGUUAGAAUGUGUGGUGUAGCGGUGAAAUGCAUAGAGAUCACACAGAAUACCGAUUGCGAAGGCAGAUUACUAACAAUAUACUGACGCUGAGGGACGAAAGCGUGGGUAGCGAACAGGAUUAGAUACCCUGGUAGUCCACGCCGUAAACGAUGGAUACUAGCUGUUCGACCAACAUUGGUUGGUUGAGUGGCUAAGCGAAAGUGAUAAGUAUCCCACCUGGGGAGUACGGUCGCAAGACUGAAACUCAAAGGAAUUGACGGGGGCCCGCACAAGCGGUGGAGCAUGUGGUUUAAUUCGAUGAUACGCGAGGAACCUUACCAGGGCUUAAAUGUAAGUUGCAUGAUUUAGAGAUAGAUCUUUCUUCGGACUACUUACAAGGUGCUGCAUGGUUGUCGUCAGCUCGUGCCGUGAGGUGUCAGGUUAAGUCCUAUAACGAGCGCAACCCCUGUCGUUAGUUGCCAGCAAGUUAAGUUGGGCACUCUAGCGAGACUGCCAGUGCAAACUGUGAGGAAGGUGGGGAUGACGUCAAAUCAUCACGGCCCUUACGUCCUGGGCUACACACGUGCUACAAUGGUCGGUACAGAGAGCAGCCACUACGCGAGUAGGAGCGAAUCUAUAAAACCGAUCUCAGUUCGGAUCGCAGUCUGCAACUCGACUGCGUGAAGCUGGAAUCGCUAGUAAUCGGAUAUCAGCCAUGAUCCGGUGAAUACGUUCCCGGGCCUUGUACACACCGCCCGUCAAG
rnacentral:rRNA from 1 species